AUUGAACGCUGGCGGCAGGCCUAACACAUGCAAGUCGAGCGAGCGGCGGAGGGGUGAGUAUUGUCUGUGAAACUGCCUGAUGUGGGGGGAUAACUACUGGAAACGGUAGCUAAUACCGCAUACCCUACGGUGUGCCCCGAUGGGAUUAGCUAGUGGGUGGGGUAACGGCUCACCUAGGCGACGAUCCCUAGCUGGGCUUAGAGGAUGACCCUCCACACCGGAACCGAGACACGGUCCAGACUCCUACGGGAGGCAGCAGUGGGGAAUAUUGCACAAUGGGGGAAAGCCUGAUGCAGCCAUGCCGCGUGUGUGAAGAAGGCCUUCGGGUUGUAAAGCACUUUCCGCGGGGAAGCGUUACCCGCAGAAGAAGCACCGGCUAACUCCGUGCCAGCAGCCGCGGUAAUAC
rnacentral:rRNA from 1 species